ACCGCCCGUCACACCAUGGGAGUCGAUUGCUCCAGAAGUGGCUGCGCCAACCCGCAAGGGAGGCAGGCCCCCAAGGAGUGGUUGGUAACUGGGUG
rnacentral:rRNA from 1 species